rnacentral:misc_RNA from 1 species
GAUGAAGAACGUAGCGAAAUGCGAUACGUAAUGUGAAUUGCAGAAUUCAGUGAAUCAUCGAAUCUUUGAACGCAUAUUGCGCUCUCUGGUAUUCCGGAGAGCAUGCUUGUUUGAGUAUCAGUAAACACCUCAACUCUUUUUUCUUUUUUGAAAUUGGAGCUGGACUUGAGUGAUCCCAACGCUUUCUUCCAAGAAAGUGGCGGGUUGCUUGAAAUGCAGGUGCAGCUGAACUUUUCUCUGAGCUAUAAGCAUAUCUAUUUAGUCUGCCUAAAAAACAGAUUAUUACCUUUGCUGCAGCUAACAUAAAGGAGACUAGUUCUUGUGCUGACUGAUGCAGGAUUCACAGAGACAGCUUCGGCUGACUUUGUAAACUCGAUCUCAAAUCAAGUAAGACUACCCGCUGAACUUAAGCAUAUCAAAAGCGGAGGA